rnacentral:lncRNA from 1 species
AUGCUUCCUCUUCCAAAGGACGCAGCUCCGAUGUGCCUUCUGGGAGGCACCACAGAGAUGCUUGGCACGCGUCUCCCACUGCCCUUCCUUCUCGACUUCACUGCAGGAAUCGCCCUGCAGUGGCACCACUUCUUCUCAAGUCUGACAGUAAGCCCCUGCAGACCAGAUGCCACAUCUUCCUACAGGUGCUGGAGAGGAGGGCGUAGCCUCCAUGUAGCCCUCAGUGAACGACAGACCCGAGGCAUCCACCAAUGCUCAUUAAAGUGGUUUCCAAGCGUUCCAGAAUAUGUGGGAGAAAAUAUACCCUUGGAAAUGUUGAAAUGUUUUAUAAGCAAGCACAUCCAGUUCCUGGGCAGCUCCAACUUGCUUGGCUCUCGUUUGCCCGACGGCUCAGCUGCAAUGCUGCCAAGGAAAACAGUCAUUGAAAGUCACACAGGCCCAGCCCAGUGAGAUUGGAUCUGAUUGUUUGUUGGUGUCAUUUAUGUCUGCAAUAGAUGUCUAAGAAUACAGCAUAAAGAUGCCCAGGUGCUCAGCCCUGCACUGAGCUGGAGAGAGGGCCGAAGGCUCGCCUUUCAUGCAUUGCCAUGGACCUCGCAGCCACGGAGCAGGGAGGGGUUGACAACACCAGGAGCUCAGCCUGACACCUUCCACUCAUGUCUCCUUGGACCCUUCCUGUGCUAAUUAUGAUCCUUCUUGGAAAUAAAAAACCAAACAUUUGAUGGCAGAUACAGACAAUGAAAUCCUAUCCAGCUUUAAAAAGGAAGAGUAUUCUCACACAUGCUACAGUGUGGAUGAGCCUUGAGGACAUCAUGCUGAGUGAAAUCAGCCAGCUACAAAGGACAAACACUGUGGGAUUCCACUCAUAUGAGGUUCCUAGAAGAGCUGAAUUCAUAAAUACCAAAAACAGAAAGGUGGUUGCCAGGGGCUGGAGGGAGGGAGGGAGGGAGGGAGGGAG